UUUACAACAACUUGAUUCAUAAUUUGCUGAUUCCAUAAAUUUUUUGAAGUGUUUUUCAAAAAAGUUUUACUGCACUUUCAUUUGUUCUGAAAAACACUAGAGCAUUUGUGUUAUUCUCAUUGUAAUUGUCUUACAAAGGUUUGAGAGCAAGAAGUGUUAUGUUUCUUAUUGAGAGAUUAGUGAGUGAUAAUCUUAGAAGAAAUCUUGGUGUAAGAUUUGUAAGAUUGAUACUCAUUCACAGUGACAUCUCUUCUGAUUUACAAGAGGAGUGAAUGUAGCCUUCGGUAGAUUGAUGGUGAACCACGAUAUAUUUGAUUUUUGAUUUUUGCUUACUUUAAGUCUUCUGUUGCUAAUAUGAAUUUCAUCUAAAAGAAGAAGCAAAAAAUUGCACAAAUUACAGAAAACUAAUUCACCUCGGCUUAGUUUGACAUAUAUACUUACAAGUCCUAAGCCAGCCCGUGCCACACACCU